rnacentral:rRNA from 1 species
GAUGAACGCUGGCGGCGUGCCUAAUACAUGCAAGUCGAGCGAACGGACGAGAAGCUUGCUUCUCUGAUGUUAGCGGCGGACGGGUGAGUAACACGUGGAUAACCUACCUAUAAGACUGGGAUAACUUCGGGAAACCGUAGCUAAUACCGGAUAAUAUUUUGAACCGCAUGGUUCAAAAGUGAAAGACGGUCUUGCUGUCACUUAUAGAUGGAUCCGUGCUGCAUUAGCUAGUUGGUAAGGUAGCGGCUUACCAAGGCAACGAUGCAUAGCCGACCUGAGAGGGUGAUCGGCCACACUGGAACUGAGACACGGUCCAGACUCCUACGGGAGGCAGCAGUAGGGAAUCUUCCGCAAUGGGCGAAAGCCUGACGGAGCAACGCCGCGUGAGUGAUGAAGGUCUUCGGAUCGUAAAACUCUGUUAUUAGGGAAGAACAUAUGUGUAAGUAACUGUGCACAUCUUGACGGUACCUAAUCAGAAAGCCACGGCUAACUACGUG